UAGGGAAUAUUGGUAAUCUGGGAAACCGGGAACCAGCAACGCCGCGUGUGCGAUGAAGGCCUUCGGGUUGUAAAGCACUUUUUGAGGGGAUGAAAAAGGACAGUACCCUCAGAAUAAGUCUCGGCUAACUACGUGCCAGCAGCCGCGGUAAGACGUAGGAGACGAGCGUUAUUCGGAUUUACUGGGCGUAAAGCGCGUGCAGGCGGUUUGGUAAGUUGGAUGUGAAAGCUCCCGGCUCAACUGGGAGAGGUCGUUCAAAACUGCCAGACUAGAGAAUAGGAGAGGGAGGUGGAAUUCCGGGUGUAGUGGUGAAAUGCGUAGAUAUCCGGAGGAACACCAGUGGCGAAGGCGACCUCCUGGCCUAUUUCUGACGCUCAGACGCGAAAGCUAGGGUAGCAAACGG
rnacentral:rRNA from 1 species